rnacentral:rRNA from 1 species
AAUUCACAACACGAGCUGUUUACAGCCAUGCANCACCUGUCUCACGGUUCCCGAAGGCACCAAUCCAUCUCUGGAAAGUUCCGUGGAUGUCAAGACCAGGUAAGGUUCUUCGCGUUGCAUCGAAUUAAACCACAUACUCCACCGCUUGUGCGGGCCCCCGUCAAUUCCUUUGAGUUUCAGUCUUGCGGCCGUACUCCCCAGGCGGGGCACUUAAUGCGUUAGCUACGGCACGGAUCCCGUUGAUAAGGACCCACACCUAGUGCCCAACGUUUACGGCGUGGACUACCAGGGUAUCUAAUCCUGUUUGCUACCCACGCUUUCGCUCCUCAGCGUCAGUACCGGCCCAGAGUGGCGCCUUCGCCACCGGUGUUCCUCCUGAUAUCUGCGCAUUUCACCGCUACACCAGGAAUUCCCCACUCCCCUACCGGACUCAAGUCAUGGCAGUAUCGGGUGGCGUCUCAGGGUUAAGCCCUGAGUUUUCACACCCGACUUACCAAACCGCCUACGAGCUCUUUACGCCCAAUAAAUCCGGACAACGCUUGGUCCCUACGUGUUACCGCGGCUGCUGGCACGUAGUUGGCCCGGACCUUCUUCUGCAGGUACCGUCAUUUUCGUUCCUGCUGAAAGUGGUUUACAAU